AGUACCCGAGUGGCGAACGGGUGAGUAACACGUGGGUAAUCUGCCCUGCACUCUGGGAUAAGCCUGGGAAACUGGGUCUAAUACUGGAUAUGACCUUUCUCCUUAUGGGGUUUGGUGGAAAGUUUUUCGGUGUAGGAUGAGCCCGCGGCCUAUCAGCUUGUUGGUGGGGUGAUGGCCUACCAAGGCGACGACGGGUAGCCGGCCUGAGAGGGUGAUCGGCCACAUUGGGACUGAGAUACGGCCCAG
rnacentral:rRNA from 1 species